rnacentral:pre_miRNA from 1 species
AGCUUUUCGGAUCUGUGAUGAGAUUUCGUCAGAUACCAACCCAUUAUGGCUGAUCAUACUUCCGAGAUAAGUGAAGUU